CCUACGGGGUGCAGCAGUGGGGAAUAUUGCACAAUGGGCGAAAGCCUGAUGCAGCGACGCCGCGUGAGGGAUGACGGCCUUCGGGUUGUAAACCUCUUUCAGCAGGGAAGAACCACAAGUGACGGUACCUGCAGAAGAAGCGCCGGCUAACUACGUGCCAGCAGCCGCGGUAAUACGUAGGGCGCAAGCGUUGUCCGGAAUUAUUGGGCGUAAAGAGCUCGUAGGCGGUUUGUCGCGUCUGCUGUGAAAGCCCGGGGCUUAACCCCGGGUGUGCAGUGGGUACGGGCAGACUAGAGUGCAGUAGGGGAGACUGGAAUUCCUGGUGUAGCGGUGGAAUGCGCAGAUAUCAGGAGGAACACCGAUGGCGAAGGCAGGUCUCUGGGCUGUUACUGACGCUGAGGAGCGAAAGCAUGGGGAGCGAACAGGAUUAGAUACCCGUGUAGUC
rnacentral:rRNA from 1 species